UACGAGGGGUGCAAGCGUUGCUCGGAAUUAUUGGGCGUAAAGGGCAGGUAGGUGGUCUCAUUUGUCUGGGGUGAAAGCCUUGAGCUUAACUCAAGAAGUGCCCCGGAAACGGUGAGACUCGAGUACUGGAGAGGGUCGUGGAAUUCCCGGUGUAGCGGUGAAAUGCGUAGAGAUCGGGAGGAACACCAGAGGCGAAGGCGGCGACCUGGACAGUGACUGACACUCAACUGCGAAAGCGUGGGGAGCAAACAGG
rnacentral:rRNA from 1 species